UACGGGGGGGGCAAGCGUUGUUCGGAAUUACUGGGCGUAAAGCGUGUGUAGGCGGCUUUGAAAGUCGGAUGUGAAAGCCCCAGGCUCAACCUGGGAAGUGCACCCGAAACUCCAAAGCUUGAGUAUCGGAGAGGUUGGUGGAAUUCUCGGUGUAGAGGUGAAAUUCGUAGAUAUCGAGAGGAACACCGGUGGCGAAGGCGGCCAACUGGACGAAUACUGACGCUGAGACACGAAAGCGUGGGGAGCAAACAGG
rnacentral:rRNA from 1 species